rnacentral:rRNA from 1 species
UACGUAGGGUGCAAGCGUUGUCCGGAAUUAUUGGGCGUAAAGAGCUCGUAGGCGGCCUGUUGCGUCCGCUGUGAAAGCCCGGGGCUUAACCCCGGGUCGGCAGUGGAUACGGGCAGGCUAGAGGUAGGUAGGGGAGAAUGGAAUUCCCGGUGUAGCGGUGAAAUGCGCAGAUAUCAGGAGGAACACCGAUGGCGAAGGCAGGUCUCUGGGCAUUAACUGACGCUGAGGAGCGAAAGCAUGGGGAGCGAACAGG